AUGGCCUGGACCCCUUUCCUGCUCACCCUGCUCACUCUCUGCACAGGUUUUGUGGCCUUCUCUAAGCUGACUCAGCUGCCUGAAGUGUCUGUGGCUUUGGGACAGAUGGCCAGGAUCACCUGCCAUGGAGAGGACUUAGAAAGCUAUUAUGCACACUGGUACCAACACAAGUCAGUCCAAACCCCUAAUCUCAUUGUAUACAAUGAUAGAAAGCUGUGCUCAGAGAUCACUGAGCGAUUCUCUGGUUCCUGCUCAGGGGGAACAGCCACACUGACCAUUACUGGGGCUCACGUUGAAGACGAGGCUAUUUUUGUUUUUCUGGAGAUAAAAACACAUU